rnacentral:rRNA from 1 species
AUUGAACGCUGGCGGCAGGCUUAACAAAUGCAAGUCGAACGAGUGGCGGACGGGUGUGUAAUGUUUGGGAAUCUAGUUUAUGGAGGGGGAUAACUACGGGAAACUGUAGCUAAUACCGCGUCCCAUAGGCUGAGCCCAAGUGGGAUUAGGUAGUUGGUGAGGUAAAGGCUCACCAAGCCGACGCUCUCUAGCUGGUCUGAGAGGAUGACCAGCCACACUGGGACUGAGACACGGCCCUGACUCCUACGGGAUGCAGCAGUGUGGAAUAUUGCGCAAUGGGGGCAACCUGACGCAGCCAUGCCGCUUGAAUGAAGAAGGCCUUCGGGUUUUAAAGUUCUUUCGGUAGCGAGGCGUUAACUACAGAAGAAGCACCGGCUAACUCCGUGCCAGCAGCCGCGGUAAUUC